UUUCAUUUUAUAUUUUUUCUUAAGUCACCGUAGCUCCUAUUGUCUUGGUGUAAAGAUUUUCGCAAUUAUAUGUAGGCUUCAGAGAUUUAUUUUUCCAGCAGUUGAAAAGUCAGUCCUUGCCAAGGCUAUGAGAAUCGUAGAAUGUCUGGAUUUAUUUGAGCUGCUCCUUUCUAAGUAAAUUGUUGAUACAUGUUUACUUGACACUUGGGUCAUCCGCGGUACAUGUAGGGUCAUGCGCAGGCAGUCAUUUUACCUCGUAAAAAUAUUAGGUCUGAAAUGUGCAUUUUCUUUGUUCGUCAGCGAACUAGCGAAUGGCGAACACAUUUAACCAUGCUUUGGUAACUGUUGUCGUCGUGCCAUAGCGGGAAUGCUUGUAUUAUUAGUAUUAUGCUGUAAUUUCAUUUCCUGGUUGUCCUUAUUGAGUGCUCGGUCGUGAGCGAGGAACUCGAUUUUCUUUCAGUGCCGUUUGUUUUUUAACAUCUAGUUCAUUGAAACAAGACUCACAAGGGUCGAACUGUUUGGUGAAUGUAAAAUCGUACAAGAGAACUUAGUGGUAAAUUGCGUUGAAAUUGGGCUGUACAGUAUUUUGGUACUCCUUGUCUGCUGGUGGCAGAUUGUAGAGUAUCUGUGCAUCACGUCAAACGCUAUUGUAUCUGUCACCAGACCGUAACCGUUGUAGAGUUUGAAGAGAGGUAGAGGGACAAAUUUUUGUACGCCAUUUUUCAAACCCGCGCGCUCGCCCGCCUUUCUCUUCUAGAUAUGCUAGUUUUAGUUCGUAACGAAGUAAUUGAAUUACCACGUAAUGUUAUGUUCUGCAGAACCAACCAUAGGAGUGAAGUGAUGAGGAUAUGAUGUGGUGGGACAGAACAGGGGAUUUCAGUUUUGGUUUCUUCAUUCGAGUUUUCAUACAACUAGCUCCUCCUUCAAAGUUGGGCUUGUGCGAAACUGCAGGAUUUUACAGAUGUUAGGUUUUCCGAAACUUAUAAACCACUUCGAAGAAAAAGAAGCGUUGGAGCGUAGGCAGGCAGGCAGUUUUGUACGCAAUGAGCUAUAAUAGAGUGCGUUAAAAAAUCGAAUAAAUCUUAUCAAAACUUUGAUCAUUUUAACAUAAUAA